rnacentral:rRNA from 1 species
AUGGCCGGCAGACGGGCAGCAAAAAAGGUUCUGGUGCUGCACACCAACAUGAACUUCGACCAGCAGAGGACCAACUGGGUGAUGCACCAGUACCACCUCGGGGACCUGGAGCAAGAGAAGGAGCGGGAGCUAGUCCUCUGCAAGAUUUUCUACCAGACGAACACUAGGGCUAGGAGUAAAAAGACUAUAAGUCGAGCAAGUUUCAACUGGGUUGUAGACUUCCCAGGUUUGGUUUUGUUUUUAACAGGCCCAGCCCAUGAUGAUAAUGGGGCACAAAGAUCCAGCAGGUAUCUACUGGCCUCUGGCCCGCCAGCGUGA